AUAACAGCAUCAGGGGUUACUACCGGGAUUAGCAAACAUCUCAACAAAGAGUUCAAUGUGAAGUUAUGGAUGGAACAAGGCUUUUACAUCUGAGAUAGAGGUUUUGAGUGUGAAUAACAGCCUGCUCCACAGCAGACGAAAGGGCUCCAUCUAUCUCUUUGUGUGGAAUCUCAGCAAUUCUAAAAGUAAGGCUGCUUUUAAUGAAAAGAAAUAAAUCAUGGGCGUAUUUAAGAGA